GAUGAACGCUGGCGGCGUGCCUAACACAUGCAAGUCGCACGAGAAAUCUCCUGCUUGCAGGAGAGAGUAAAGUGGCGCACGGGUGAGUAACACGUGGGUAAUCUACCUCUGAAUCGGGGAUAACGUUCCGAAAGGAGUGCUAAUACCGGAUAAUAUCUGACGCACCUCGGUGUGUCGGAUCAAAGGGGGCCUCUACAUGUAAGCUUCUGUUUGGAGAUGAGCCCGCGUGCCAUUAGCUAGUUGGCGGGGUAACGGCCCACCAAGGCGACGAUGGCUAGCUGGUCUGAGAGGAUGGCCAGCCACACUGGAACUGAGACACGGUCCAGACUCCUACGGGAGGCAG
rnacentral:rRNA from 1 species